rnacentral:rRNA from 1 species
UGGGUUGUAAACUUCUUUUUUACGGGACAAAACUCUCGGUCGUGACCGGGAUUGAUGGUACUGUAUGAAUAAGCAUCGGCUAACUCCGUGCCAGCAGCCGCGGUAAUACGGAGGAUGCAAGCGUUAUCCGGAUUCAUUGGGUUUAAAGGGUGCGUAGGCGGAAUAAUAAGUCAGUGGUGAAAGCCUGCGGCUUAACCGUAGAAAUGCCAUUGAUACUGCUAUUCUUGAGUAUAGUUGAAGUGGGCGGAAUGUGUAAUGUAGCGGUGAAAUGCUUAGAUAUUACACAGAACACCAAUUGCGAAGGCAGCUCACUAAGCUGUUACUGACGCUGAGGCACGAAAGCGUGGGGAGCAAACAGGAUUAGAUACCCUGGUAGUCCACGCUGUAAACGAUGAUCACUCGUUGUUGGCGAUAUACUGUCAGCGACUGAGCGAAAGCAAUAAGUGAUCCACCUGGGGAGUACGGCGGCAACGCUG